rnacentral:rRNA from 1 species
UACGUAGGGUGCGAGCGUUAAUCGGAAUUACUGGGCGUAAAGCGUGCGUAGGCGGUUCGCUAAGUCCUGUGUGAAAGCCCCGGGCUCAACUCGGGAAUGGCAUGGGAAACUGACGAACUGGAGUGUGGCAGAGGGGGGUGGAAUUCCGCGUGUAGCAGUGAAAUGCGUAGAGAUGCGGAGGAACACCGAUGGCGAAGGCAGCCCCCUGGGCCAACACUGACGCUGAGGGCACGAAAGCGUGGGGAGCAAACAGG